UUUCAAGAGGCGGCGCGGCCUCCAAAUCACUCCUACGAUACCUUGGCGAGGGGCGAGAGAAGGUAUGAUGAAACCGUGAAACAAUACUGGCGCACGGGCGCCAACGUGGCGACACAUUUCUUGAAGGGCGGGCAUUUUAGAGAGAGAGAGAGAGAGAGAGAGGAUGGUGAGGAAGAGGAGAGGGAGGCGUGUGUUCGAAAUCCACAAAGUGCUGCAGCAUUAGAGGCGAUCAGGAGGAGACAAAAGCUCGGCAGCAGCAGGGGUUUACCCCCCGACACAAAGACACAAAGACACAAAGACAGACGCUACGCAGCCCAGCCAAGCCGCAGCGCCGCACCAGCCUCCACUGGAGCCGCGCGAUCCACCCGUCUGCAGGGCGCAAAUAGCACCGCGUCAGGGUGCCCGGAAGCGUCCCCCCGACCCUUCGCCUGGAACGCUGACCGGCUAGCGAGGGCGGUACCCGGCGAAGACGGCGACUAAAACAUAAACCGAGUCACUCUCUAGUGUGCAGGAUUCGGGGACAUCUGUUGGUGGGUUUGCAGAUUGCAACCCGAUGAAACUUUAGUCGCGUGUGUCGAGCGUGAAGGAGAACUACGGUGGCCGUGAUGAAAACCCAAAACCACGGUGGCCCCCUGAAGAGAACCUCUGUACGCACGUAUACGCCGAUUCUUUUUUUCCGGUCAGUAUACACACUUGAUGAUAUUCCAUAUUCAAUGUUUUCAAUAGCGUCCCCCUUAAUGCUACAUGUACCUGUACCUUUAAGAGAUCAAAGUCAAGCUAUUUACUGGUUUAGUCCUAAAAGUAAUGCAAUCAC
ensembl:lncRNA